AUGUCUUGGUACUCACUCCCGCUUGCCUCUGCUGCCCCUAUUUCUGCCACUCUGUUUGAAGGAUUUCUCCCUUUCUACCAUGAAGCACACUUAAUUGCCCAGCACAUUGCAGAGACUGAAUUUCCUUGGUGUGUGGAUCCAUUUGACAGCUUGAAGGCAUUGGGAAACGAUACCUUCCUCUCUAUCACCUUCUGCACGGCCCUGAAAGAUUGUCAGAUUCCUUUUUUGCAUACCUGGCCAAUAAAAGGACUUCUGCUGCUGCCUGUUUCAGAGACUUCAUGGUUUCUGUGUUUACUUGGGAAUGGGCUCAGUUCCAGCUCCUCAUCUCUUCUGGGCUGAAAUCCCGGGUCGUUAUUUCGUCACCAGUCUCUGUGAUAUGUACCUGGUUCCAAUACCUACGUGGAUUGUUUCCUUUUAGCAAAAAGAAGAAAAAACAAAAAGUGUAUCUUAUAAAGAGGUUCUCAACCUCAUUUGUAAUCAGGGAUAUUCAAAACACAACCAGAGGGAAAUACCAUUUUACUCUCCUGAGAAUGGCAAAAAUUCCAGCAGCAACCUUUAUCCAAGCAUUGGCAAGGAUAUGGAGAAUCAAUAUCACCAUUGACACCAUUCUUUGCUGAUGGGAGUGUUAAUUAGUGCAACUGCUUUGGGUAACAGUUUGGAAGGCAAUGGCACCCCACUCCAGUACUGUUGCCUGGAAAAUCCCAUGGACGGAAGAGCCUGGUAGGCUGCAGUCCAUGGGGUCGCACAGGGUUGGACACGACUGAAGCGACUUAAUAGCAGCAGCAGCAAAAUAGAGAAAUUCUAUUAUCCGCCCUUCUAGAGAAAUUCUUACACAUGUAUACCUCUAACUUGGAUGAGAAUGGUUACACUAGGACAGAUCAAAACACCCCCAACUGGAAUCAACACAAAUGUCUGAAAAAGUAGAAUACAUUUUAUUUCUUCUUACAAUGGCAUUUCAUACAGUAGUAAAAAUGUAUGUAAUUUACAUCUGGCAUGAUAACACAGAUAAAUCCUACAGUCAGAAUAUGAGUGACAGAAGCAAGUCACAAAAGGACGUGUAAAAAGAAUGUGUCAUUUACAUAAAGUGCAAAAGCAGAUAGAAUAAACUAUAAUUCUCAUCCA
rnacentral:lncRNA from 1 species